rnacentral:rRNA from 1 species
UACGUAGGUGGCAAGCGUUGUCCGGAAUUAUUGGGCGUAAAGCGCGCGCAGGCGGUCCUUUAAGUCUGAUGUGAAAGCCCACGGCUCAACCGUGGAGGGUCAUUGGAAACUGGGGGACUUGAGUGCAGAAGAGGAAAGUGGAAUUCCAAGUGUAGCGGUGAAAUGCGUAGAGAUUUGGAGGAACACCAGUGGCGAAGGCGACUUUCUGGUCUGUAACUGACGCUGAGGCGCGAAAGCGUGGGGAGCAAACAGGG